rnacentral:misc_RNA from 1 species
AGCUUAAGGUCUAUAAACUUCGUUUGGCCUUAACUCCUUAUGCUGCAUAAAGUAGCCUGUUUUGGUGCCAAUUGCAUGAAACAUUAUUUGGCAUAAAAGUUGAGAACAAUUUAUCUUCACUAAAGGGGUAAAAAGAAGAAGAGAAUGUUUUCUCAUAACUUGAUGCAAAUAAAGCAUUUAUAGAAUAAAUGCGAAUUUUUUACUGAUUUUUAAUGUGCUAGGAUUUUAGUACGAACUGAAAUACUUGAUUUAGUUUUCCCUGAAAUUGUGAUGAUAUGAUAUUAAAAUGUUGAUAUACUCUUUUUAGUUGUCUGAUUUGAAGUGAUUAUUUUGAGCCCUUUAGGGUCUUCUCCUUUAUUGUGUAGAUAUUGUUUUCUCAGCUUUUCUUAGAUUCUAGGUUGCUUGGUAAUGUUCAAAAUAAAAGGGCGGGUUGGACUUAAGUAUAUCAUUUAUUCUCUUUCCCUGGUCCUUUCAUUGAACUAAAGAGAGGGCUGAGUUUAUUUCCCACAUGAUUGGGCUUACGUUAAAUGCUUUUUAGGGCAAGUAACACCUCCUCUUUAUGUGAGAUGCUAGUUUCAAGCUGUAUGCAGAGGAAAGGAGGCCUACCCCACAGCACAGGCUGAAGCAGUAGUUAUGUGAAAAAUCAAGCCACAAUUCAACGAACAUAUUCCGCCUUGUCUUGGAUGAGGCUUGCUAAAAGGAGAAAUUUUCCGUUGCUAGCUCUUUGUUACAUGCAAGACAACAAGGUUUAGAAAGAAUAAGCCUAGCGUAGUUAAAUGAGCUAGCAUCA